AGAAAGUGAUUUCUUUAUGUUGUCAUCACUAUACAGUCCUUUUACUUUCUCAAUAGGCCAGACUUGUUCCAGUAAGCCAUGCCAGAAUAUCAAUCAGAGAGAUGUGGAGAUGUAAUUAAAUGUUGUUAGUGAGCUUUUAGUUAAUCCCUUAGGAGGAGAUUAAAAUGAACAUGGAUUGUAGUGCUAAUUCCAUCUGCUUUCUCCACAUACUGCCCUUGUGAAUUUGCAGUGAAUACAGAGUCUUCAAACGAAAACACACACCAGACG